GCGGCCGUGAUGGAAUUGGUCAGACAUGCUGCGUUUAGGGCGCAGUGGGCGAAAGCCCGUGUGGGUUCGAGUCCCACCGGCCGUA
rnacentral:tRNA from 1 species